GGCUAUUCGCGGACUACCUGCCGACAC
rnacentral:sRNA from 1 species